AAGACAGAAACAGACUUGUUCCUGAUAAUCUAGUGGGAAAAUCUAUCCUCUUUCCUAAUCCUGCAGUCUCCCUGGGAGGUGGGACCCCGACCCGUCUCUCAGAGAGAAGCCCUUUGGGAAAUGAGGUCAGUCUGUGAGAUUACUGGAAAAUCUGCCCUACCUUCCCUAUUCUCUUGGAAUAUCUGACCUCUGUUGCAGCCACCUGCUGUCAUACCCAUCAGUACCCGAGGGCCAGCAGAGGGGGCAGCAGCUGAAUGCUUCUCUGAGAUCUGACUGCCCUAGGAGCACAGAAUCACCCUGUGGUCUGGAGCAGAACUGCAGUUAUUCAAUGAUCAGUCCCAAGGGGUAUAAGAAGGACAUGCAAAUUCCUGAAUUCCCAACCACUGGACAGAGAACAUUCAACAAAACGGCUGCAUGACUUCGGCACGGACAGCUGAACAGAAAGGAGAAUAUUCAGAAAAUCUGCUUGGGCAAAGCUGUCCCUUACCAAACUGUAACAGAGCCGUGGUUCUGGUGGGACAGAGAACUAGAACUGCCAGAUUCAGAUGCAUCUGGGACACUACUGAUACAGUGCUGUUCUGUUGAUGGCUCUGGGGAAGCCCCCUGGGACCCUGGCUCUCAGCAACCAGCUCUGGAGAUAGCGGAUGGGGAUGAGGUGCAAAUGGCGGACCCCUGCAGGGAUGUGUGUGAGGAAGCACAACAGCUGAUAACCUCCAUGAAGGCAAGGGCUGUGUUCUGAUCACCAUUGUUGCCCUAAAAUCCAGUGUCUGACAUCUGCCAGAUGCUCAACAGGUAUUUCACAGGUGACUGCCUGAAGAACUUUUAAAGCACGCCACGUUAAGACUGGCUUCCCAAGGAAAAGAAAGUGAAGCAUAACAUAAUUCUAGUAACCCUGGGCCUAUAUUGCCUGAAUUUCUCUGUGUAGUGACAUUCUUCUGACACCACACUAGUGGAGUGGGAGCAUGCAACAGCAGCAUGGUAACUGUUGACAUCAGGACUUGAUAAGGAAGGGUAGUGAAGACUUUAAUAAGGUAGAAUCCUGCCGUCAUAGCAUGAGGGACAAAUAACUCCUUUGAUUCCCCCAAAACUGCCAAAAGACUCUCACUUAAUUCAGAUGUCUUAGGUCUUGAAGUGACUGCUAUACCUAUGCAAAUAUCAUGGUGCCCAGAGAUUGAUCUGGAGAAGUUCUGAGGUGGUGAGCAUAUCUAACUGCACUGUGUUGAUAUUUUUCUCUGCUUUUUUGGUGUGAGGCUUUAGGCCGGUUAUAAUCAAGUUAAUCAUGAAAACAAUGGCAUUUGUAUUUGGAAAGGAAGGCUAUGCCUUGGCAGGGUUAUAUGUGAGAAAAGAAAUACCAAUGUUAUUGGUCAGUGAUGCUACAGGGUUGCUCAGUGUCGCCAAUGGGGGAUAAGUGGAAC